rnacentral:snoRNA from 1 species
AACAAAUUUCUUCUACCGCCGACUCAACACUCAGCUUCGAUCUCUCUCAGUGACGGGGUUGUUUUUCUGUCGAGCGAAGAACGAUUACGGCCCGUUGCUGGGCACCUGGUUUUGAAAGGUCAUUCUGAUCCUUUUGGAUGAAUUGGGAAUCAGCUGUGGUCACAAAA